rnacentral:tRNA from 1 species
UAGGAAGUGGUGUAGUGGAAGCACUAAGAGUUUUGAUCUCUUUAGGGAGGGUUCGAAUCCCUUUUUCCUAA